rnacentral:lncRNA from 1 species
UGGCUAAUACUGCAAAGUUUGGGAUCCACAGUCUACAAAACCCCACAUCCCCUGAGAAUUCUCUCGCCUGCCUUAGGCACUUAGGCUCCGGGAGAUUGCAAAUAACCUGCUUUCUUUCUGUUCCCGGGCUGCGUUCGGACUCCUGUCAGAUAGUAAAUCCUAAGUGGCGUCGGACCCCUGUCAGAGAGUAAAUCUCAAGUAAGGUACCUGCCAUCGGCAGAUUUGAGCUUUCUUCUUGGACACCUAAUACCCACAGUCCUCCAGGCUCCGGUAGACUGCAAAUGACCUGCUUUCUUUCUGUUCCCGGGCUGCGUUUGGACCCCUGUCGGAUAGUAAAUCCCAAGUAAGGUACCUGCCCUCGGCAGAUUUGAGCUUUCUUCUUGGACACCUAAUACCCACAGUCCCCCAGGCUCCGGUAGACUGCAAAUGACCUGCUUUCUUUCUGUUCCCGGGCUGCGUUUGGACCCCUGUCGGACAGUAAAUCCCAAGUAAGGUACCUGCCCUCGGCAGAUUUGAGCUUUCUUCUUGGACACCUAAUACCCACAGUCCUCCAGGAUAACUUCAGGAAGUGGGUAUUAAUUCUCACGGUAUAAGUGAAGACAUUAAGCACCAGAGUUUAAGUAGCUUGAUCCACUGAAAGAGAUUCAACUGUGUGGAACCUAUGCCGUGGAGAAUUGCUUUCUGCCAUUGUUAUCGUCCAGCAGUUGCCGAAUAGCUCUGACCUGAGCAAAGCAGUGAAACGCGGUGCUGUUGAGUGGGUUGCCACUGCACCUUUUUCAACUACUCUAGUCUUGUGGAGAAAAUACCCCUUCUAAAUUUUUUCUUCAUUGAAUACUCUCCCUCAGCUCCAGAGUACCAUAUAGAGUUUUCUUGUAUUUUAGAGUUACUGUUUUAUCAAAGUUUACCAGUCUUUUGUAUUACAUUUCUCCUGUCUAAAUCGACUGUGUGGUUUCUACUCAUUAUGGAUAUAGAUUGAUACAAACUCAAUAAAUAUUUUUGAAUGAAUAA